GACGAACGCUGGCGGCGUGCUUAACACAUGCAAGUCGAGCGGAAAGGCCCUUCGGGGUACUCGAGCGGCGAACGGGUGAGUAACACGUGAGUAACCUGCCCCAGACUUUGGGAUAACCCUCGGAAACGGGGGCUAAUACCGGAUACGACACAGCUUCGCAUGGGGUCUGUGUGGAAAGUUUUUCGGUUUGGGAUGGGCUCGCGGCCUAUCAGCUUGUUGGUGGGGUGAUGGCCUACCAAGGCGACGACGGGUAGCCGGCCUGAGAGGGCGACCGGCCACACUGGGACUGGGACACGGCCCAGACCCCUACGGGGGGCAGCAGUGGGAAUAUUGCACAAUGGGCGGAAGCCUGAUGCAGCGACGCCGCGUGAGGGAUGACGGCCUUCGGGUUGUAAACCUCUUUCAGCAGGGACGAAGCGUAAGUGACGGUACCUGCAGAAGAAGCGCCGGCCAACUACGUG
rnacentral:rRNA from 1 species